GGAGGUAGUGACAAUAAAUCACAAUGCGGGACUUCUAGUCUUGCAAUUGGAUUGAGAACAACGUACAACUCUUAUCGAUAAGCCAUUGGAGGGCAAGUCUGGUGCCAGCAGCCGCGGUAAUUCCAGCUCCAAUAGCGUAUAUUAACGUUGUUGCAGUUAAAAAGCUCGUAGUUGAAGUGAGGGAGUGUGUGGGUAUGAGAGCUAGUCUCAAGUACUUACAACCUCCCCCCUCCAAUCGGUGUAGUGGGGUAUUCAGUUAUUCUACUACUCCUUUGGUCGUUUACUGUGAGAAAAUUAGAGUGUUCAAAGCGGGCGUUUGUUUGAAUAGAUUAGCAUGGAAUAAUGAUUGAAGGCUUUCGUGUUCGAUUUGAUUGGUUUGUUCAUGGAAGCAAGGUUAAAAGGAACAGUUGGGGGUAUUCAUAUUCACUAGUUAGAGGUGAAAUUCUCGGAUUUAUGGAAGAUGAACAAGUGCGAAAGCA
rnacentral:rRNA from 1 species